rnacentral:lncRNA from 1 species
AGAUGUUCCCUAGAGGUGGGCGUGGCUACCGCUAUCCCACAGGACGUGGAAUGCCUGAUCCUGGCAUGCAUGGUGUUGGGGCUGUGAUGCCAUCUCCAUAUGAGAUGGGUGGGAUGCCAAUUAGAGAUGCUGGUGUGUCACAACCUGUUCCAAUUGGGGCCCUUGCCACUGCUCUUGCUAACGCACCACCGGAUCAGCAGAGGCUGGUAUGAUAUCGAGCCUGCGAUUUGUUGGUUGGACUUUUUUGUUAAUGAAGGGCUGAUGGUGACUUUGUAAUGUUUGUUGUAGAUGCUUGGUGAGAACCUGUAUCCUCUAGUUGACCAGCUGGAGCAUGAGCAGGCUGCCAAGGUGACUGGCAUGCUUUUGGAGAUGGAUCAGACAGAGGUCCUGCACCUGCUGGAGUCCCCAGAUGCUCUCAAGGCCAAGGUUGCUGAAGCCAUGGAGGUCCUCCGCUCUGCCCAGCAUCUUCAGCAGACCAACGCCUCCCCUGAGCAGCAGCUGGCCAAUCUGUCGCUGAAUGACGGCGUCGUCUCCAGUUGAAUGUCUCCGAUGACUGAGUGAUCGAAGACUGCUGGCAAUUUUUGCUUGAUACCAUCCUAUCUAGAGUGCAAUGACUUGGUUUGCU